UAGACACUUCUUGCUGAAACGCAAAGCAAUGCUGAGGCUGCAAAGGAAAAAUUCGACAAGAAAUUGAAAUCCUUUGCUGGCAUUAUUGAGAAUCUAAAUGGUGAUCGGCAAUCACUUGCAGAAGAGAUCAGAGAAUUCAAACGAGAAGUUUUGCAACUUGUAAGAAAGAAGUCGGAAAAGGAUGAGAGGGAGUUGGAAAUUAGCCAAAAGCUCCGUGAUGAAUCUCAGACGAUUCUUGUUGAAACACAAAGGAGUGCUGAGUUGGCAAAGAUAAGAUUUGGCGAAGAAUUGACACGCUAUGCUAGGGGUAUGAAGAAUCUAAAUGGUGAUCAGCAAUCACUUGUGGAGCAGAUCAGACAAUUGAAAUGAGAAGUUUAGCAACUUGUAGAAGAGAAGGCGGAAAAAGAUGGGAGGAUUACUCAUCUUGAAAUAGAAAAUAGUGUGGUGAAAGAAAAUUUGAUUUUUUGCCAGGACAAACUAAUGGAGGAGAGGUCAAUUAGCGCUCGUUUCCAUGGUUUUGGCCUAGAUCUUCUGUCAGAGGUGGAAAUAGAUAAAAGUGUUGCGUUUCCAUGCAUAAAAGCUUGAACAAACAUAUGAGGUCAUAAAACAAAGAAGGCUCGGGAACCAGC